CGCGCCAGCAGAAUCCCGUGAGGCUCCGCAGCAGUCGAUGUCAUUUGACGGGACAGGCGAGCACUCAGUUGAACAUGUUCCUGAGGAGUGACGGCAGCACACGUAGAUCCCGUGUUCUGACUCAUCUGUGUAAAACUGGUUUCUGUCGUUGAAGCUGUCGGUAUGAAGACUGUGUUGACGCAAAACGCAGGGAGGUGUCGAUCUCUUGCUCGGAAUGCCUGGGAUCUCAAGGGAGACAACACGUUGAUGCAGCGUCCAGAUGGGGCGGUUGUCCGACACGUGUUUGUGCUUCGGGAUUGAAGCUCGAUGCGGCGUUAUUGCACGAUGUACGCAUGACGAGUUUCUCUUAAGCAUGGACCGGACCAAUGGGUGACGUCGAUGUUUCGCUAUCAAGCGGGUGUAAUGGCGUACGGAUUCCUGAAUCCUAAGUACUGAGAAAGGUGGUCCCCGCGCUUCUGCCAGAGCCGUGACAUUCGAGAUGGCUCGAGGAACACCUAGGCACACUUUGACGCUCCUUGCCAGGACACUUUGUAGGGCUGACUCGGACGUCGGACAGAUACCGUUAAGGACAGGCACAUGGUAUGCCAAUAGCUGCCGAAUAAGGGAAGAAUGAAGACCGGCCAUAGAUUGGCAAGCACUUCCCCAGCGGAAUCCUCAGAGGAACCGCAGGAUAUUUAUUCGAGCUGCAGCGUGCUCUUUGAUGUUCGAGACUUCUGCAUUCCAGGAAAGAUUACGGUCGAAGAAGGACCCGCGGAAACGGUGGUGAGUCACCUUACGAAGGGACCGUCCGUGCAGAUUGAGCUGAAAAUUCGACAAAUGCUUUCGUGUGAAAGUACCUGGGUGUUAUCCUCCGCGCUAACCUGUCUUGGAAGGAACACACUGAAAAAUUAAGUACCAAGUCCAACAGGACCCUAGGCUUCCUACGCCGCCACCUCCGCCUAGCACCGCCAGAUAUAAAAAAGCUCGCGUAUUCCACUCUUGUCCGUCCGCAGCUGGAGUAUGCCAGCAUCAUCUGGAACCCGCAACAACAGUACCUGAUUGACAGACUUGAGUCUGUACCAAACAAAGCCGCUCGCUUCAUCGCUAGGGAAUAGUCGCCUUACUGCAGCAUAACUCAACUAAAACAUGAGCUUCAUCUCUCUAAUCUCGACGCUCGCAGAAA